rnacentral:rRNA from 1 species
UAAUACGUAGGGUCCAAGCGUUAUCCGGAAUUACUGGGCGUAAAGCGUGCGUAGGUGGGUGUUUAAGUGCAAUGCGAAAUCCUGUGGCUCAACCAUAUGGACUGUAUUGCAUACUGGAUACCUAGAGGAGUGUAGAGGCAAGUGGAAUUACCGGUGUAGCAGUGAAAUGCGUAGAGAUCGGUAGGAACACCAAUGGCGAAGGCAGCUUGCUGGGCACCACCUGACACUAAGGCACGAAAGCGUGGGGAGCGAACAGG